CUAAAAACCCUAUAUCUACAUCUCAUCCCGAUUCCUAUGUUCUUCCCCAUUUCUUUCUCCCCCGUUCCCCCUUCCAACAUGCGAUUUCCAGGGUUUCGGCCACAUCUCCGACCGACGACGGCGUGAUCUGCGACAACCGCUUGCUCUCCAGCGGUGGAAGGUUUUCGAUUGGUAAGCCCACUGCUCUCGGAUCUCCCUCUCUCGGCGACGGCGCGGGCCUUGCCGUGGCUGGCCGAAUCUUGUCCGCGUCGCGGGGCUGCCUGCCGUCGUGGGCUGUCCGGCGCCAGGCGCGUGCUGGCCACCGCCAGGCGCGUGCUGGAAGCAGAGAACGAUCCGUUCUGUUGUUGGCGAUCAGUCGAGUUUCCAGAAACAAAAUCGAAGUCUCCAUUCUGUUGUUGGCGAUCAGUCGCUGGAUCGUGGUCGAAUCCGGUGUCAAUUGAUGGUGAGGAAGCCCAGCAGCAGUUGCUGCGCCAUCUGCGAGGGUUCAAAUCUGGCAUCAAUUUGUGCUCCCUGCCACAAGCUAGUGAUUUCUUUUGAUCAUCUUUGAUAUGGAGCUGGAUAUGGGCAAUUGUCGGUAUGUAGUGAUAUAAUUUCAGAAAUUUCAGGUUAAACGAGUACAGCCCUCUGUUGAAAUCUCUGAAUACCGUCUGUAAAUCUCAUUAUUCGAAGCUGGACGAUUUGCUCGCCAAGAAGAGGAAAGCAGAUCAGCAGAUUAACUGGAGAGUGAUGCAAAAUGUGGAACUCAAGGCAUUGAAGGAACGGCUAACCUACUUGAAGAAGAAACUUGCUGAAGAUAAGGCUAAGGUUUCCAAAGAAUCAAAUGAUCUGAAGUUGAAAUAUGGGUCAUUGGAAUUAGCAUUUUCUAUAGCAAAGGAGAUUUGAUGGGGAGCAAAGCUUUUGUGGCAGACGAAGAUGAAUUGAUGUAUUAUUAGUUUAUUUACCUUCUUGAUGGAUGAUGAACUUAUAUAAGAUUGGGUUGUUGAACUUUGUAUAAUAUUUUCUAGAAGCUUGAACAAGAUUGUUGAGAUCUUUAUAUUUGUUGAAUUAUGAGUUGAGUUCAAUUAUUAAUAUUGUAUGUGAAA